GUCCUGUUUGACCAACCUGAUCUCCUUCUAUGAUCCAGUGACCCGUCUGGUGGAUGAGGGAAAGGCUGUUGAUGUGGUCUACCUAGACUUCAGCAAAGCCUUUGACACUGUCUCCCACAGUAUUCUCCUCCAGAAGCUGGCAGAUCGUGGCUUGGACAGACACAUUCUUGGCUGGAUGAUCAUUCAUGUGAGAGCCAUUCAAUGUUGCAUUUUUGAAGGAUUUGGAAAAUAUGGAUGGGAUGUGGAUGAGAUGAUACAUCUGGGAGCAGAGGCGAGCCAGAAGAUCAAAAAGG
ensembl:lncRNA